rnacentral:rRNA from 1 species
AGAGUUUGAUCAUGGCUCAGAUUGAACGCUGGCGGCAGGCCUAACACAUGCAAGUCGAACGGUAACAGGAAGCAGCUUGCUGCUUCGCUGACGAGUGGCGGACGGGUGAGUAAUGUCUGGGAAACUGCCUGAUGGAGGGGGAUAACUACUGGAAACGGUGGCUAAUACCGCAUAACGUCGCAAGACCAAAGAGGGGGACCUUCGGGCCUCUUGCCAUCAGAUGUGCCCAGAUGGGAUUAGCUUGUUGGUGAGGUAACGGCUCACCAAGGCGACGAUCCCUAGCUGGUCUGAGAGGAUGACCAGCCACACUGGAACUGAGACACGGUCCAGACUCCUACGGGAGGCAGCAGUGGGGAAUAUUGCACAAUGGGCGCAAGCCUGAUGCAGCCAUGCCGCGUGUAUGAAGAAGGCCUUCGGGUUGUAAAGUACUUUCAGCGGGGAGGAAGGUGUUGUGGUUAAUAACCGCAGCAAUUGACGUUACCCGCAGAAGAAGCACCGGCUAACUCCGUGCCAGCAGCCGCGGUAAUACGGAGGGUGCAAGCGUUAAUCGGAAUUACUGGGCGUAAAGCGCACGCAGGCGGUCUGUCAAGUCGGAUGUGAAAUCCCCGGGCUCAACCUGGGAACUGCAUUCGAAACUGGCAGGCUUGAGUCUUGUAGAGGGGGGUAGAAUUCCAGGUGUAGCGGUGAAAUGCGUAGAGAUCUGGAGGAAUACCGGUGGCGAAGGCGGCCCCCUGGACAAAGACUGACGCUCAGGUGCGAAAGCGUGGGGAGCAAACAGGAUUAGAUACCCUGGUAGUCCACGCCGUAAACGAUGUCUACUUGGAGGUUGUGCCCUUGAGGCGUGGCUUCCGGAGCUAACGCGUUAAGUAGACCGCCUGGGGAGUACGGCCGCAAGGUUAAAACUCAAAUGAAUUGACGGGGGCCCGCACAAGCGGUGGAGCAUGUGGUUUAAUUCGAUGCAACGCGAAGAACCUUACCUGGUCUUGACAUCCACGGAAGUUUUCAGAGAUGGAAUGUGCCUUCGGGAACCGUGAGACAGGUGCUGCAUGGCUGUCGUCAGCUCGUGUUGUGAAAUGUUGGGUUAAGUCCCGCAACGAGCGCAACCCUUAUCCUUUGUUGCCAGCGGUUAGGCCGGGAACUCAAAGGAGACUGCCAGUGAUAAACUGGAGGAAGGUGGGGAUGACGUCAAGUCAUCAUGGCCCUUACGACCAGGGCUACACACGUGCUACAAUGGCGCAUACAAAGAGAAGCGACCUCGCGAGAGCAAGCGGACCUCAUAAAGUGCGUCGUAGUCCGGAUUGGAGUCUGCAACUCGACUCCAUGAAGUCGGAAUCGCUAGUAAUCGUGGAUCAGAAUGCCACGGUGAAUACGUUCCCGGGCCUUGUACACACCGCCCGUCACACCAUGGGAGUGGGUUGCAAAAGAAGUAGGUAGCUUAACCUUCGGGAGGGCGCUUACCACUUUGUGAUUCAUGACUGGGGUGAAGUCGUAACAAGGUAACCGUAGGGGAACCUGCGGUUG